GGGCUAAGCAUGGUUGCUGCUGUUACAAGCCGUGAAAUGAAGAUUUGAUUUGGGUCGCUGCAAACGUUGAAACGGGGUGCUGCAAGUGAAGAUUGUGGUUGCUGCCUUGCAUCGUGGGCCAUUACAUUUGGUUAAUUGGAUCAGAAAGGCAGCUGCCACCCUACUUGGAUUCCAUCUUAAUGAAGCGCAACGUUUUGGAGAAGCCCUCACUUGAGUUGCUGCUGAUUAAGCCACGUGGCUGAACUUGGGCUGCACUUGAAUUAAUGAAACUAUGCGUUUUGGCCUGGCAGCAGUGACUGGGGUGGUCCUUGCUCGUGCAACUCAUUUGGAAAAAAACGAAUUUCCUGAAGCAUUUGUCAUUUGGAGAGAAACACCCUCGAGCUAGGGCUUAUUCAAGUGAGAAGAGGAGAACUCCACUGGAUGCGCGCCACUUACCUGAAGACGUGACCAGACCCAAGCUUUCGAUCUGCCCGGAGCUGCCCGGAGAAGAUGAUCGGUGCUGCCACGUGGAGGAUCGGAUGGCUGAAGACCCAGCUCGUGAUCAACGCGAACAGAGCCGUCCGAUGGGGGUAAAAGCUUCUUGAGUAAGCUUUCCUUUUUUUUUUCUUUUCUUUGUUUCGUUUUCUGACCCUAUAAAAAGGGUUUUGUAAAUAGACUUCUGGGGAGACACUUUCAGCUACCAUUUUCACAAUUUUAGACUAGGAUUUUCAUUUCUCGUGCUUUUGGAGCGAAACACUCACGGUGGUGACAGCCCAUGGUGGCUCCGAUUGUGCAUCUCGUUCGGUACACUCCAUUGUAAUUGUUCUUUCUUGUUAACAAAAUGUUCUUUUUCAUUGAUGUGUUUAUGUAGUGUGCUUUAUUUGUUGAAUUGAUUGUGUCUUUUCUGUAAUGUUUCUGUGAUUCUUGUGUUUUGAUUUGAAAAUUGAGUUGAACUCGUGUGACUCUGCAAUUUUAUGAUUCCUCUGGAAUCGAAUGACUCCACA
rnacentral:lncRNA from 1 species